rnacentral:rRNA from 1 species
UACGUAGGUGGCAAGCGUUGUCCGGAUUUACUGGGCGUAAAGAGCGCGCAGGCGGUCGGAUUAGUCGCGUGUGAAAGCCCCCGGCUCAACUGGGGAGGGUCACGCGAUACUGUUCGACUCGAAGGCAGGAGAGGGAAGUGGAAUUCCCGGUGUAGUGGUGAAAUGCGUAGAUAUCGGGAGGAACACCAGUGGCGAAGGCGACUUCCUGGCCUGUCCUUGACGCUGAGGCGCGAAAGCUAGGGUAGCAAACGGG